rnacentral:rRNA from 1 species
UACGUAGGGUGCAAGCGUUGUCCGGAAUUAUUGGGCGUAAAGAGCUCGUAGGCGGUUUGUUGCGUCGGCUGUGAAAUCCCGAGGCUCAACCUCGGGUCUGCAGUCGAUACGAGCAAACUAGAGUGUUGCAGGGGAGACUGGAAUUCCUGGUGUAGCGGUGAAAUGCGCAGAUAUCGGGAGGAACACCGGUGGCGAAGGCGGCGACCUGGGUAGAUACUGACGCUGAGGCGCGAAAGCGUGGGGAGCAAACAGG